rnacentral:rRNA from 1 species
UACGUAGGGGGCAAGCGUUGUCCGGAAUCAUUGGGCGUAAAGCGCGCGUAGGCGGCCCGAUAAGUCUGCUGUAAAAGUCAACGGCUCAACCGUUGAAAGCCGGUGGAUACUGUCGGGCUAGAGUCCGGAAGAGGCAAGUGGAAUUCCAGGUGUAGCGGUGAAAUGCGUAGAUAUCUGGAGGAACACCGGUGGCGAAGGCGACUUUCUGGACCGUAACUGACGCUGAGACGCGAAAGCGUGGGGAGCAAACAGG